UACAGGGGGUGCAAACGUUGCUCGGAAUCAUUGGGCGUAAAGCGCACGUAGGCGGUUCGUUAUGUCGGAUGUGAAAGCCCUUGGCUUAACCGAGGAAGUGCAUCCGAAACUGGCGAGCUAGAGUACUAAAGAGGAUCGCGGAAUUCCCGGUGUAGAGGUGAAAUUCGUAGAUAUCGGGAGGAACACCGGUGGCGAAGGCGGCCGGCUGGGGGUACCCUGACGCUGAGGCGCGACAGCGUGGGGAGCGAACCGG
rnacentral:rRNA from 1 species